rnacentral:sRNA from 1 species
CCGUUGCCAGCUGCUGUACAUAAAUG